UGGGAAGAGACGCAAGGUUUGUGAAGUUAGGAAAGACAGAUUGGGUUUGACAAGUUAAGAUAAGGUUAUUUAGGAUAGGAUACACUGGGUUAGGAAGGGUUGGGGUUAAGAUAUGUCUGGGAAGAGAGAAAGAUAGAGAGAGCGAGGGAGUUUGCCGACGUCAGAAGAGUGGGUGACAGGAUAGGUUAGGAAGGGUUUCGGAAAGGAUAUAUUGUAUGUGUUUGGAUGUUAUGAGCUGUGUACGGAAGGAUAUGGUGGUUACUGAUGUUAGGAUUGGUCUGCAAGGAGGGACGGUUAAGUUAGGAGUGGUCUGCGGGUGGAUUAAACGAACCGAUGGAUUAUGGGAAGUUACAGUCGUCUUCAGCACAGUAGCCUUUCAAUUUUAGGAUAAGUUACAGAAAGGACACUUCAAUUUUGAGCAAGUUAGGAUGCGUUGAAGAGGAGGACGUAACCAACUUAUCCUGCAGUGAUGUAGAGAAGGAUUUAAAUAGAUUUGGAAGUUCAGGUAGGAUAAAGAAAGACAAAAAAUGGGAUAUUUGUAAAGUUUGGAUUGGUUUAAGAGACAGGAUGCGACCAACACGUCCUGCGGUGAAUCAGUUGAAGUUUAAAUGUCCUAGGAUGUGCUUAAGGAUGUUUGAUUAAGUUCGGAUAGGAUAACGAAGAACCAGAUGAAGUUUAAGUGUCCUAGGAUGUGCUUAAGGAUGUUCGAUUAAGUUCGGAUAGGAUAGCAAAGGAUUGGGUGAAGUUUAAGUGUCCUAGGAUGUGCUUAAAGAUGUUGGGUUAAGUUCGGAUAGGAUAACGAAGGAACAGAUGAAGUUUAAAUGUCCUAGGAUGUGCUUAAGGAUGCUCUGUUAAGUUCGGAUAGGAUAACGAAGAACCACAUGAAGUUUAAGUGUCCUAGGAUGUGCUUAAAGAUGUUCAGUUAAGUUCGGAUAGGAUAACAAAGGACUGGGUAAAGUUUAAGUGUCCUAGGAUGUGCUUAAGGAUGUUUGGUUAAGUUCAGAUAGGAUAACGAAGGAUUGGGUGAAGUUUGCGUCCUAGGAUAUCUUAGAGGGUUGCAGGAUUACGUUCGGAUAAGGAUGUGCGUUCGAGAAGCCAGGAACUGUUAACUAUUAGGAUUCACGACCCUAGGAUACGAAGGAUGGGAUAGGAUAGGAUGUUUAAAUGUUGUGGGAUGGGAUUAGGAUGACUGGAUAAAGGAUUGGAUUGUUGGAGUUUUAAAUGUUGUGAAAUGUUGGUUAAAAAUGUUUGUAUUUAUUUAUUUAUUUAUUUAUUUAUAUUUAUAUCUUAUUUAUUUAUUUUUUUGUUGGUUUAAAUUGUGAAAGAAAAUGGGAUAUUGAUGUACAGUUUUACAAAGUGGUGUUUUUGCAUUUUACUGUUUUGGGUGGUUCUCUUUUCAAACUGAGUAAGAAAAUUAAAGAAUAAAAGAAAUGAAAUAAUAAUAAUGAUAAUAAUAAUAAUAAUAAUAAUAAUAAUAAUAAUAAUAAUAAUAAUAAAACUGAGCAUUUAUCAGUGUUGCCAAUUUGAACUAAGCAUCGUUUUGCAUUUAUACAUUUAAUUUUUUUCCCUCUCUUUUUUUCAAAUUGAGGAAAAAAAUCCUUAGAACUGAGAAUGAUGAAAAAUAAUGAAGGAAAAUAAACAAUAGGCAUUUAUCAGUGUUACCAAUUUGAAUUUAGCACUAUUUUUGCAUUUAAAUGUUUUGAUGGUUCUUUUUCAAACUGAGGGAAAAAAAAUACAAAAUAAAUGAGGAAAAAAAAAAGAGUAAAAGGAAAAUAAAUUAAUGGAAGAAUAUUUACAAUGCGCAUUUAUCAAUGUUGCCAUUUUGCAUUUAAAUAUUUAGGUGGUUCCAGAUUAAGAACAAAAAAAUAAAUAAUAAUAAUAAUAAUAAUAAUAAUAAUAAUAAUAAUAAUAAUAAUAAUAAUAAUAAUAUAUGCAAGAAAAAUUUAAAAAAAAGGAAACAAAUUAAUUUAUAACUGGGCAUUUAUCAGUGUUACCAAAUCGAACCAAGCAACAUUUUUUUUGCAUUUAAACAUAGUAAACAUUGUCCUGGGGGGAUGGGUGGGGAGGGUCAGGACAGUUCCUUCUCUCAAAUUGGAAGCUUAAAUAAGUCGACUUUUAAAACCGUAAGCAUUAAUUGAUGGCAUUUAAAUUCCAAGACCACAAUAGAAAAAAAUAUGAAAAAACAAACAAACAAACAAAUAAACAAAUAUCGAAGAAUGCAAACGCUCCCCCUCGAAUUAAAUUAAAUAAACACAAAAUUAAAAAAACCAACACGAAAGAAAAAAAGUUACGAAAACAAACAAACAAACAAACAAACAAACAAACGUACAACAAUGCAUACGCUGCAAAACACGAAAAAUUCAAUAAAACUCCAAAAAAAAAACAUAAAAAAAACUAAUUCCACUUAAAACCUAGCCUAACCUAACACCAGUAGUGAAAAAAACACCCAAAAAAAACACCAUUAAAAAAACAAAACGAAGAAAUCAAAUAAAACGAAGAAAAAAAUGAAAACAACAACAAUUCAAAUUAUGACAAACUUAGCCUAACCAUCAAUCAAAACACCAACAAAACACCAUUAAGAACCCAAAAGACGAACAAAUUCAACAAAAAACACGAAAAAACACUGAAAAAAACAACAGCAAUUCGAAUUAACUGAUAAACCCAGCCUAUCUAAACACCAGUAAUGAAAAACACCAAAAAAAAACCAUUAAAAACCCAAAACAGGAAGAAAUUCGAUAAAAACACGAAAAAAACACUGAAAAAAACAACAGCAAUUCAAUUUAACUGACAAACCUUGCCUAAUCUACCACCAUCAAUCAAAACACCCAAAAAACACCAUUAUUAACCCAAAACAGGAACAAAUUCGAUAAAAAACACAUUAAAACAGAAAAAAACAGCAAUUUAAAUAAACCCUAGAAAUUAAAUACCCCAUACAACUCACUCACUUCUGUCCUAAUUGUACAAACAAACAAACAAACAAACAAAGGAAGGAGAGAGAGAGAGAGAGAGAGAGAGAGAGAGAGAGAGAGAGAGAGAGAGAGAGAGAGAGAGAGAGAGAGAGAGAGAGAGAGAAUGGCAUUGUUUUGGUGUAGAUGGUGGUGGUGGUGGUGGUGGCGGUGGUGUAUCCCCCCUCCUCCUCCUCCUCCUCCUCCUCUUCCUCCUCCCCCAUACCCCCUUCCCUCCCCUAGAGUGACGGUACAGGAUGGUGCAAAAAAAUGUAUAGAGAAAACAUUAUUAUUAUUAUUAUUAUUAUUAUUAUUUAAGUACAGGGUGAUGCAAAAAAAUGUCGGGUUUUUUUGUUUUCUUUGUUUUUUUAAUGUUUUUUUUUUCAAAGGUACAGUGUUGCAACAAUAUUUUUGAUAAUUUUUUUUUCUAUGCUACAGGGUGGUGCAAAACAUCGUGAAGGCUGUUUUUUUCUUUUCUUUUUCUGUUUAAUGAUGUUUUUCUGUGAUUUCUAGAAGAUACAGGGUGAUGCAAAAGAUAUAGAAUGCAAUUUUUCUUUCUUUUUGUCUGAUGUUACAGUGUGUUGCAAAAAAUAUUGAAAACUGAUAUUAUUCACAGCUCGUUAUGUAUUUUUUUUUUUUUUUUGUCAUUCUUCAUUAUACAGGGUGGUGCAAAAAACACAGAAAACUGUCUGAUAUUUUUUUGUAUGUGUUUUUUUUAACUUUAUCAAACAGGGUGGUGCAAAAACAUUAAAAAAAGCUGUCCGACAAUUAAUUCCAGCUUACAUCACCUACUUUUAACUUAAUUCAGCGUACAGGGUGGUGCAAAAAAAAACAUAGAAAACCGUUUGAACACUAAACAGUUAAAACGCUGCCACAUUUUCGUUCUUUGAGGUACAGUGUUGCAAAAGAUGAUGAUGCAUGGUUUGAGCCCCGCCCCUCCCUUCUCGUCACUCCCUCUCCCUCUCUCUCUCGUAUUUUGUGAAGACUGUAGUGUGCUGACUGUAUAUACGUACGUACAAGAUGCUUUGCGAUUGACUGAAGGAAAAAUAAAUAAAUAAAGGGCAGUCACUGUGUACAUAUGUGACAUUCGUACUUACACACGCACACACACACACACAGACACACGCACACACACACACACACACCUAGAGGGCCAGAUGUAUUUGUGGAAGUGAAUGAAAUACAAAAAAAGAAAAAAAAAAAAAAAAAAAGAUAAUUUUUAAUCCUCCUCCUCCUCCUCCUCCUCCUCCUCCUCCUUUCCCUCCCUUCCCUCCCUUCCUGCCAAGUUACAUGUUUGUCUAGAGAUAAGGAUAACUAUUAAUAUUUUUGUUAGGUAAAUAGAAGCAUUUUGUGUGAAGUUUGGCAUGUUAUUCAGUAAAAUAUGAAUAACAAA